UACGGAGGGGGCUAGCGUUGUUCGGAAUUACUGGGCGUAAAGCGCACGUAGGCGGCUUUGUAAGUUAGAGGUGAAAGCCCAGGGCUUAACUCUGGAAUUGCCUUUAAGACUGCAUCGCUAGAAUCGUGGAGAGGUGAGUGGAAUUCCGAGUGUAGAGGUGAAAUUCGUAGAUAUUCGGAAGAACACCAGUGGCGAAGGCGGCGACCUGGUCUUUUACUUGACGCUGAGGCGCGAAAGCGUGGGGAGCAAACAGG
rnacentral:rRNA from 1 species